rnacentral:rRNA from 1 species
GGGACACGUGGUAUCCUGUCUGAAUAUGGGGGGACCAUCCUCCAAGGCUAAAUACUCCUGACUGACCGAUAGUGAACCAGUACCGUGAGGGAAAGGCGAAAAGAACCCCGGCGAGGGGAGUGAAAAAGAACCUGAAACCGUGUACGUACAAGCAGUGGGAGCACAGGUUUACCUGUGUGACUGCGUACCUUUUGUAUAAUGGGUCAGCGACUUAUAUUCUGUAGCAAGGUUAACCGUAUAGGGGAGCCGGAGGGAAACCGAGUCUUAAUUGGGCGUUAAGUUGCAGGGUAUAGACCCGAAACCCGGUGAUCUAGCCAUGGGCAGGUUGAAGGUUGGGUAACACUAACUGGAGGACCGAACCGACUAAUGUUGAAAAAUUAGCGGAUGACCUGUGGCUGGGGGUGAAAGGCCAAUCAAACCGGGAGAUAGCUGGUUCUCCCCGAAAGCUAUUUAGGUAGCGCCUCGUGAAUUCAUCUCCGGGGGUAGAGCACUGUUUCGGCUAGGGGGCCAUCCCGGCUUACCAACCCGAUGCAAACUGCGAAUACCGGAGAAUGUUAUCACGGGAGACACACGGCGGGUGCUAACGUCCGUCGUGAAGAGGGAAACAACCCAGACCGCCAGCUAAGGUCCCAAAGUCAUGGUUAAGUGGGAAACGAUGUGGGAAGGCCCAGACAGCCAGGAUGUUGGCUUAGAAGCAGCCAUCAUUUAAAGAAAGCGUAAUAGCUCACUGGUCGAGUCGGCCUGCGCGGAAGAUGUAACGGGGCUAAACCAUGCACCGAAGCUGCGGCAGCGACACUGUGUGUUGUUGGGUAGGGGAGCGUUCUGUAAGCCUGUGAAGGUGUGUCGUGAGGCAUGCUGGAGGUAUCAGAAGUGCGAAUGCUGACAUAAGUAACGAUAAAGCGGGUGAAAAGCCCGCUCGCCGGAAGACCAAGGGUUCCUGUCCAACGUUAAUCGGGGCAGGGUGAGUCGACCCCUAAGGCGAGGCCGAAAGGCGUAGUCGAUGGGAAACGGGUUAAUAUUCCCGUACUUGGUGUUACUGCGAAGGGGGGACGGAGAAGGCUAUGUUGGCCGGGCGACGGUUGUCCCGGUUUAAGCGUGUAGGUGUGUGUUCCAGGUAAAUCCGGUU